UAGCGUAUAUUAAAGUUGUUGCGGUUAAAAAGCUCGUAGUUGGAUUUCUGUGGUGGGCAGCCGGUCCACACUAUGUGUGAGCAUCGGUUCGGCCACUGCAUCCUCCUGAGGACCGUGGUGCGCUUUAUUGCGUGGUGCGGAAUUCAGGACUUUUACUUUGAGGAAAUUAGAGUGUUCACGGCAGGCGCUUGCCCUGAAUAUAUUAGCAUGGAAUAAUAAUAUAGGGCGAUAGUUCUAUUUUGUUGGUUUCUAGAGCUGUCGCAAUGAUUAAUAGGGAUAGUUGGGGGCAUUCGUAUUAUGAAGUC
rnacentral:rRNA from 1 species